rnacentral:rRNA from 1 species
UAGGGAAUCUUCCGCAAUGGACGCAAGUCUGACGGAGCAACGCCGCGUGAGUGAAGAAGGUUUUCGGAUCUUAAAGCUCUGUUGUUAAGGAAGAACGAGUGUGAGAAUGGAAAGUUCAUACUGUGACGGUACUUAACCAGAAAGGGACGGCUAACUACGUGCCAGCAGCCGCGGUAAUACGUAGGUCCCGAGCGUUGUCCGGAUUUAUUGGGCGUAAAGCGAGCGCAGGCGGUUAGAUAAGUCUGAAGUUAAAGGCAGUGGCUCAACCAUUGUAGGCUUUGGAAACUGUUUAACUUGAGUGCAGAAGGGGAGAGUGGAAUUCCAUGUGUAGCGGUGACAUGCGUAGAUAUAUGGAGGAACACCGGUGGCGAAGGCGACUCUCUGGUCUGUAACUGACGCUGAGGCUCGAAAGCGUGGGGAGCGAACAGG